rnacentral:rRNA from 1 species
AACAAACGCUGGCGGCGUGCCUAAUACAUGCAAGUCGAACGGGGACAGCUUUCGGGCGAGUUCUAGUGGCGCACGGGUGAGGAACGCGUGGAUAAUCCGCCUUAGAGUGGGGGUUCACUAGUGGAAAGAUUAGCUAAUACAGCAUAAUACCACGUGCGCUCCGGCUUUUGAGGUCAAAGGUUUUUCGCUCUUAGAUGAGUCAGCGUAAGAAUAGCUAGUUGGUGAGGUAACGGCUUACCAUGACGACGAUCUUUGACUGAUCUGAGGGGAUGAUCGGUCACACUGGAACUGGGACACAGUCCAGACUCCUACGGGAGGCAGCAGUAAAGAAUAAUGCACAAUGGCGGAAUCUCUGAUGCAGCGACGCGGCUUGAGAGAUGAAUGCGUUCGGGACGUAAAGCUCUGUCGCAAGGGAAUAACACAAUGAAGGUACCCAGUAAGAAAGGAUCGGCUAACUUCGUG